rnacentral:rRNA from 1 species
UACGUAGGGGGCGAGCGUUGUCCGGAGUUACUGGGCGUAAAGGGUGCGUAGGCGGGUCUUUAAGUCAGGGGUGAAAUCCUGGAGCUCAACUCCAGAACUGCCUUUGAUACUGAAGAUCUUGAGUUCGGGAGAGGUGAGUGGAACUGCGAGUGUAGAGGUGAAAUUCGUAGAUAUUCGCAAGAACACCAGUGGCGAAGGCGGCUCACUGGCCCGAUACUGACGCUGAGGCACGAAAGCGUGGGGAGCAAACAGG